rnacentral:rRNA from 1 species
GCUGACUACAGGCUUAACACAUGCAAGUCGAGGGGCAGCAUGAACUUAGCUUGCUAAGUUUGAUGGCGACCGGCGCACGGGUGAGUAACACGUAUCCAACCUGCCGAUGACUCGGGGAUAGCCUUUCGAAAGAAAGAUUAAUACCCGAUGGCAUAGUUCUUCCGCAUGGUAGAACUAUUAAAGAAUUUCGGUCAUCGAUGGGGAUGCGUUCCAUUAGGUUGUUGGCGGGGUAACGGCCCACCAAGCCUUCGAUGGAUAGGGGUUCUGAGAGGAAGGUCCCCCACAUUGGAACUGAGACACGGUCCAAACUCCUACGGGAGGCAGCAGUGAGGAAUAUUGGUCAAUGGACGAGAGUCUGAACCAGCCAAGUAGCGUGAAGGAUGACUGCCCUAUGGGUUGUAAACUUCUUUUAUACGGGAAUAAAGUGAGGCACGUGUGCCUUUUUGUAUGUACCGUAUGAAUAAGGAUCGGCUAACUCCGUGCCAGCAGCCGCGGUAAUACGGAGGAUCCGAGCGUUAUCCGGAUUUAUUGGGUUUAAAGGGAGCGUAGGCGGACGCUUAAGUCAGUUGUGAAAGUUUGCGGCUCAACCGUAAAAUUGCAGUUGAUACUGGGUGUCUUGAGUACAGUAGAGGCAGGCGGAAUUCGUGGUGUAGCGGUGAAAUGCUUAGAUAUCACGAA